rnacentral:rRNA from 1 species
AUAUGGAGGAUCCGAGCGUUAUCCGGAUUUAUUGGGUUUAAAGGGUGCGCAGGCGGCCAUUUAAGUCAGCGGUUAAAUCGUGGGGCUCAACCCCAUUCUGCCGUUGAUACUGGGUGGCUUGAUUGCGGUCGAGGUUGGCGGAAUUCGUUGUGUAGCGGUGAAAUGCAUAGAUAUGACGAAGAACACCGAUUGCGUAGGCAGCUGACCAGAUCGCAAAUGACGCUCAUGCACGAAAGUGCGGGGAUCGAACAGGAUUAGAUACCCUGGUAGUCCGCACAGUAAACGAUGAAUACUUGUUUUCGGCGAUAUAAUGUCGGAGGCAAAGCGAAAGCGAUAAGUAUUCCACCUGGGGAGUACGCCGGCAACGGUGAAACUCAAAUGAAUUGACGGGG